rnacentral:rRNA from 1 species
AGCAGCCGCGGUAAUUCCAGCUCCAAUAGCGUAUAUUAAAGUUGUUGCAGUUAAAAAGCUCGUAGUUGAAUUUCGGAAUCAAUAUAUCGGUCGUGCCUUGGUACGUACUGGUAUCAUUGGUUUCUCCUUUCUGACGAACCAUGAUGUCAUUAAUUUGGUGUUAUGGGAAGUUAGGACUGUUACUUUGAAAAAAUUAGAGUGUUUAAAGCAGGCUUUAGCUUGAAUACAUUAGCAUGGAAUAAUGAAAUAGGACGUUCGAACCUAUUUUGUGGUUUCUAGGAUCAACGUAAUGAUUAAUAGGGAUAGUUGGGGGCAUUAGUAUUCAAUUGUCAGAGGUGAAAUUCUUGGAUUUAUUGAAGACUAACUACUGCGAAAGCAUUUGCCAAGGAUGUUUUCAUUAAUCAAGAACGAAAGUUAGGGGAUCGAAGACGAUCAGAUACCGUCGUAGUCUUAACCAUAAACUAUGCCGACUAGGGAUCGGAUGAUGUUAAUUUUUAAUGACUCAUUCGGCGCCUUACGG